rnacentral:sRNA from 1 species
UUCCGGACUUGGCCGCGAUUGCUAGCGCC